rnacentral:snRNA from 1 species
GGAUGUGAGGGCGAUCUGGCUGUGACAUCUGUCACCUCAUUGAUCAUCAGGGCUGAUUCCGCUGAUCUGUCUGGUUAGCCGGGUGUCGUCCUUCCUCCAUCAGUGCUCCAUGUGUGUGGCUCCAGAAGCUGAGCUCCCUGUCAGUUGAAGAGGACGACCACCCCUGAUAGAAGAGGAUUGUUCUUCAGUCAAGGGUAUAGGAGUAGCUGUACUCCCCUGCUAGAACCUCCAAAGAAGCUCUCAGAAAAUAGCAAGAAUGAUGGGGUAUGUGUGUUCCAAGUGAGGGAAAGUGUUUUGAUGGGAAUUGACAACAAUGUCUUUUAUUG